rnacentral:ncRNA from 1 species
UCUCGGGGGAGAGUCCCACCAGCGCGGCGUCCCAAUACGGUCGCCACGACCGUCGCGCUGGGCCAAUGGCGAGACCGACCCUUCCGAGA